rnacentral:lncRNA from 1 species
CCCAGAGCGAGAGGAAGAUGAAGGUGGCUGUGCUCAGCGUGGCCCUGCUCUUCUCCAUCCUGCUGUGCCCCCCGGCACAGGCCAAGGCACUCCUGGAAGGAACCCAAGAUGAUCUCCGGGAGCUGGAUUUAGGCAAUGUCGCGGAGCUGGAGACGCCUCUGCCCUUUCGGGAUGAAGAGCUGCGGGCUCUUCUGCGGUAUAAACGCCUGGCUGCCUCUCUGGAUGCCUAGGUGAGCUGUGACUGCAGGGACAGGGGUCGAGACAAAGCCCCUCCGUGGCCCAGUGAGCUCCAGAGGUCAUGUUCUGGGGUUUUUCAUUUAGGAUUGGAAGCUGUGGGGACAUGGUGUCCCGAUCCCCUCUGGCGGUGUGAGGAGAUGAUCAUCCCUGGAGGAACCCUCUGAUCCCUGUGAGCCCUGGGCUAUUCCCCCUCAAUAAUCAAUAAACCCUUUCAGCAAAGUUACA